rnacentral:rRNA from 1 species
UACGAAGGGGGCUAGCGUUGUUCGGAAUUACUGGGCGUAAAGCGCGCGCAGGCGGUUUCUCAAGUCAGUGGUGAAAGCCCGGAGCUCAACUCCGGAACUGCCAUUGAAACUGUGAAACUUGAGGACGAGAGAGGUGAGUGGAAUUCCCAGUGUAGAGGUGAAAUUCGUAGAUAUUCGCAAGAACACCAGUGGCGAAGGCGGCUCACUGGCCCGAUACUGACGCUGAGGCACGAAAGCGUGGGGAGCAAACAGG